rnacentral:rRNA from 1 species
UGAGGAAUAUUGGGCAAUGCCCGCAAGGGUGACCCAGCAACGCCGCGUGGAGGAUGAAUGCCGUAAGAUUGUAAACUCCUGUUAGAGGGGAAGAAUAGUACCGGUUGGACCGGUAUAUGACUGUACCCUCAGAGAAAGCCCCGGCUAACUACGUGCCAGCAGCCGCGGUAAAACGUAGGUGGCAAGCGUUAUCCGGAUUCACUGGGCGUAAAGCGCGUGCAGGUGGCUUCGUAAGUUGGACGUUAAAUCUUUCGGCCUAACCGGGAGGUGUCGUUCAAUACUGCGGGGCUUGAGGGUAGAAGAGGGGGGUGGAAUUGCCGGUGUAGUGGUGAAAUGCGUAGAUAUCGGCAGGAACACCUGUGGCGAAAGCGGCCCCCUGGUCUGCUCCUGACACUCAGACGCGAAAGCUAGGGGAGUGAACG